UACGUAGGAUGCAAGCGUUGUUCGGAAUUACUGGGCGUAAAGGGCGCGUAGGCGGCACUGUUAGUCAGGCGUGAAAGUCCUGGGCUCAACCUGGGAACUGCGCUUGAUACGGCAGAGCUAGAGGAUGGAAGAGGCUCGCGGAAUUCCCAGUGUAGAGGUGAAAUUCGUAGAUAUUGGGAAGAACACCGGUGGCGAAGGCGGCGAGCUGGUCCAUUACUGACGCUGAGGCGCGACAGCGUGGGGAGCAAACAGG
rnacentral:rRNA from 1 species